rnacentral:rRNA from 1 species
GAGCCGCGAACGGGUGAGUAACACGUGGGCAACCUACCCGUAGAGUGGGGGGAGUAACUAACCGAAAGGUUAGCUAAUACCGCAUGAAACGUGCUGUGGCAUCACAGAACGUUAAAAGGAGCAAUCCGCUUUAUGACGGGCCCGCGUCCGAUUAGCUAGUUGGUGGGGUAACGGCCUACCAAGGCUCCGAUCGGGUAGCUGGUUUGAGAGAGCGACCAGCCACACUGGGACUGAGAAACGGCCCAG